UUAAAGCAACCAAGUUGAGGAAACUUGAUAGAAAGCUCACGGAUAGCAAACUUGUUAGGAUGAGGUAAACCUGAGGAAAAAGAUAUAGCGUCAAUCCCUGUACUACUUUUAAUUCUUCCUAACAUUUGAAAAGGGCCUUUCUCACGAGCCUUGCUUUCUCUCGACAAAUGAUGGCUAAAAUCCUCACUAUUCCGGAUCAUAUUGUCAAAAAUAUGCGAUAGACUCAAAAGAAAAAUUGAAGUAGUGAUAUGACAAGGAAGCCUUUAUAAACUUCUUUGGCCAGUUUAAUCAUUCAUUGAUUACUGUCAUAUUUCACUUUGGGCGGUGGGAAAUCAUGAUCAAUCCAUGGAUAUGCACGUCUACUGACUACGGUCCCAUUUGGAUACAAUAGGAACAGAUAUGAGCAUUUUUUGAGAUUUCCGAUUUGGAGCAAAUUCCGUUCCACGGGUCAACUAUGGAGAGGUUAAAGAAACGAGACUUUAAUUUUUGUCAUCUUACUAUGCCCCAGCCGUGGAAGUCGGAAUGAUGAUCCACGGAUCUAAGAUAACUAGUGAUCGUCUUUGAAGCAAAAGUGUUUAAAUACAAGUAUUGGAAAAUGUUGACAAAAGUUUUUGAUUACAUUUGCAAUCGAUUAAAAUGGUGAUAU